rnacentral:rRNA from 1 species
AUACGGAGGGUGCGAGCGUUAAUCGGAAUUACUGGGCGUAAAGCGUGCGUAGGCGGUUUGCUAAGUCAGAUGAGAAAGCCCCGGGCUUAACCUGGGAACUGCAUUUGAUACUGGCAGACUAGAGUAUGAUAGAGGGGGGUAGAAUUCCUGGUGUAGCGGUGAAAUGCGUAGAUAUCAGGAGGAAUACCAGUGGCGAAGGCGGCCCCCUGGAUCAAUACUGACGCUGAGGUACGAAAGCGUGGGGAGCGAACAGGAUUAGAUACCCUAGUAGUCC